AACAGUGCCAACAGGUGCCAUUUUGUGUGUCUUUAUUGUGGACAUGACAUUACAUCUUUUUGAAAUGAUGUACAAAAGUGUAACAGAACUGAGAAUGGCUCAGACGAGGUAGAGCUUUCACAUCGGCUUGCUGGCAUGAAAACUACACAGUAUAAAAACAAAAACAACCCAGAAAAAUCAAAUUAAACAAACACUCCUGUCUGCCUUUGUCCUCUCAUCCUUUUUUGAAGUGAUAAUAAAUACAGAUAUCAACCAAAUACAUUUGGAAUAAUAAUAACGUCUUCUAAGGUAAAUUAAUCAUGAAGUUCAAAACAAAUAAAAAAAGAAAGCAAUACGGACACAAAUAAUACAACUUAAGAGACGUGAUAGAAACCCAACCAAAGAGAAAAGAACAACACCUGCCAGCCCCUCUGGGAGGGCAGCCAUGACUAGCUACUGAACAAACCCUACAGUUUAGCAAAGAGAAAGACUAAAAACACACUCUUACAUCUUUUGGAAAAAAAAAAAAAAGCAUUGCUGAAACUAGCAUUAUCAAACUUUCCAUGAGCUAAUCUGUCACAGAACAAACCAUUUGUCAUUAAAAUCUAGGGUAUUAUCCUAAAGAAAAGCUCUGAAACCAGGAAUGACAAUGAGAGUGUUAGCCGGCACUGUUAAAAAGACAUUCUCAAAAAAAUUAAAAAUAAUAACCCUUCGCUAGAAUCGGACAAAAUGAGAACGGUUAAAGCAGUAACCUAGUCUAAGUGCACUAGUAAUGCCAUUUGGUUUCUACUGCUGUAUAUAAGGGUUUGGUAAGAGUGGAUUACAGAUGUACAGUUUAUUUUACAUACACUCACUCCUGCUUCAUAGUUUUUCUAAGUCACACUUCGGAGUACAAAUUCAUAACUGAGGAGUUAAUAUUAAAGGGAAUUCUGUACAACAUUGGUAUUAGUACUACACUACCUCGAAGGCUAGAGUAUCCUUAUUUCAAGUAUUUUCACUACCCACACCUUCAUUAUACACACUUGUGUAUCAUUAGGCAUAUUCAAGCACACUUUACUGUAUGCAAAGCAACCAUUUCAUCGUCAUGUAAAAACUACUGAGGUCUCAAAAUAGACGGGAAGUACAGUACUCUGUCCGCUCUGUAACCUUUCACUGCUUUGAAAUUUAAAUUCAUGUUUACAAAAAUGUCUCCAUCGCUCGACUCUCGCUUUGAGCAUCUGAGUUUUGUCUGUAUUUGUUGUUCUCCACAUAUAUAUCAAGGCAUGGCUUUAUUUUUCAAUCCUAAAGGCUGAUGAGAAUGAAAAAUCAAGCCUAGUUCACAAAGAAAACACACCCCCUCGCAAAUACAGCCCUGUUCGUCUUUACGCUAGCCGAUGAAGUAACAGGCUUUCCUUGCAGAGGAGGUAGGCUAGUAUACAAGCAACUAGAAGAAGGCUGUGGCACACGGGAGUGAGGCAACCUCUUAUACAGUGUGGAGAAGUUUGAAACACACACGCACACACACACACACAUACAAAAGUACACACUCUCUCACACCCUUGAGAAGGCCGUGACAGCUCUACAUUAACUCAAGAAGAUACUCGUCUGUGUGUUUGUACCUGAACUCUCUAAAAGCCUGACCUCUGACCUCUGUCUUUCUGUCUCUCUCUCUCUCUCUCUGACCUCCUCACUCUUUCUCCUGGAAUACAAAUCUACACAUCCCCAUUCAAGAAAUAAGACUGACAGCAUCAGGGAGUUAAGCUCAUUAGAAAAAGCUCUGUCACGAUAACGACAAAUGUGAGGAAAACUUUGGGUAAUUUUGGGGGGAAAUAAACUCUCUCUAAUCUGGCAUAAAGUUCAAGUAAAAGAUUAACAUCACUUUUAUAUCAAAUUAAACAAAAGGCUAAAACUAGCUGCUAUUUAGCUUAGCUCAGCAUAGAGUAUUUAUGGUUUCACUCUUGUACAAAAGUUUAGUAGAGUUCGCAAUCCAUGUAGUCCAUGAGCGUAUUCCGAUUCAUUCUGGUAAGGCAGCUGUGACACUGCGUCUGUCAUAUAGCCUAGUUACAGUUAAAUCAACAUUUUGUGUCAAAAUUAUAGCCUGAAAAAGUCACUUUUUCUCUCCAUUUUUGAUUUUGUUUUUAAACAUGCCUAUGCCUUUGUCUUAUACAUUAACCCGCCAGCUUAACUCAAAGGCAAGCCGGGAUUGGUUUGGUUACAAAAGGCCAGAGAGUCAAUGUUGCCCUUUAGCAAAAUGAAAUGAAUAAUUAGUAAAUGGCAGCUCCAUAUUUGCCACUGCAGAGACCCAAUUUUGAGUCUAAUCUGAGUGAUCCGGGGCCCCACCUUUAUUUCCAGCUGUUCUGAGUUCAGUCUGAUUCAAAGUCAGAUGGUUCAGAGUGGGAAAAACUCUCUAAUGUGAAGAAGUUAUGGAGGAAAACUGCCUCCACUCAGUCCCUUCCUCUUAAAUGGACAAUAAUUGAAUGACCAUAAAAAGGUACGCUCAUUUAUAUUGGCUAUUAAAAACGCACACUCUUUUUAAUGAGCACUAAAGUAGACACCCCCGUUAGCGUGCACUCUCUCUCUUUCUUUCUCUCUUUCACCUUCUCUCUUUUAACCCUACCUCUCUCUUUCUUUCUCCCUCUCCUCUUCCUCUAAUCAUCAGCCUCAGAGUGGUCACUGCACUUAGACAUUACACUCCAGAGUGGAGGGAAGUGAGUUUUACACACACACAGACACACACAGACACAUGCAGACACAGAUGUGAGUCAAGCUUGAAAUGUGUCUGUUGAUGAACUGCAGAACGUCUUCUCUGUCUGAUUAUCGGUGUGUCCUGAGAAAUGCACUAAUUCUUACAGUAUAGCAAAGGGGAGACACAGAGUAACCACAGCAGCCAUGCAAUUCCACACUCAGAAUUAAACCUUUAGCAUUUUAGCUCCGUUUCAUUUCAUUACAAAUGUUUUUUUUUCUUUUCCUAUAAAGCUGGAUGAGGCAACUUCCCCUUUUAGUACCUCCAAAAUGGCAGCAAGAGGUAACUUUUUUGAAUUUUUCAGGGCCUUUUCUUAACAAAAAAUCCUGUAAGGUGAUGUAAACUAUGCACAAUCAGCUCUUUCUGUCCAGCCUUCAUUUUAACCAAGAUCCAAAAAAGCACAAAAAUCAAUCACCAUGGAGUCGAGUUUCUUGGUGUUCGAACACGUCAGAGAUCUCUCCCAGUUUCUUCUGUUUCAGGGGAAAUUUUUUAACUUGUGUGCACACCUGACACCUGAA
rnacentral:lncRNA from 1 species